UCGCGAAUGGCUCAUUACAACAGCUAUAAUUUACUUGAUCUUGACUUCCUACUUGGAUAACUGUGGUAAUUCUAGAGCUAAUACAUGCACCAAAGCUCCGACCUUACGGGAAGAGCGCAUUUAUUAGAACAAAACCAAGCGGCUUCGGCCGUCCAAUGUUGACUCAGAAUAACUAAGCUGAUCGCAUGGUCUUGUACCGGCGACGUGUCUUUCAAGUAUCUGCCUUAUCAACUUUCGAUGGUAGUGUAUCUGACUACCAUGGUGAUGACGGGUAACGGAGGAUAAGGGUUCGACUCCGGAGAAGGGGCCUGAGAAAUGGCCACUACGUCUAAGGAUGGCAGCAGGCGCGCAAAUUACCCACUCUCAGAACGAGGAGGUAGUGACGAGAAAUAACGAGACCGUUCUCUUAAGAGGCCGGUCAUCGGAAUGGGUACAAUUUAAACCCUUUAACGAGUAUCUAUGAGAGGGCAAGUCUGGUGCCAGCAGCCGCGGUAAUUCCAGCU
rnacentral:rRNA from 1 species